rnacentral:rRNA from 1 species
UUUGGCGAUCAUACCAGCACUAACGCAACGGAUCCCAUUAUAAUUCCGAAGUUAAGCGCGCUUGGACUGGAGUAGUACUAGGAUGGCUGACCCCAUGGGUCCUCGUGUUGCAUCCC